rnacentral:rRNA from 1 species
UGCGUAGACGGUUAUGUAAGUUAGGUGUGAAAGCCCCGGGCUCAACCUGGGAAUUGCAUUUAAGACUGCAUAGCUAGGGUGCGGAAGAGGGAAGCGGAAUUUCCGGUGUAGCGGUGAAAUGCGUAGAUAUCGGAAGGAACAUCAGUGGCGAAAGCGGCUUCCUGGUCCAGCACCGACGUUCAGGCACGAAAGCGUGGGGAGCAAACA